GCCAAUGUAGCUCAGUUGGUAGAGCAGAGCAUUCGUAAUGCUCAGGUCAGCGGUUCGAUCCCGCUCAUUGGCU
rnacentral:tRNA from 1 species